rnacentral:rRNA from 1 species
UCAGGAUGAACGCUAGCUACAGGCUUAACACAUGCAAGUCGAGGGCAGCAUGGAGUUGCUGCAAUCUUGAUGGCGACCGGCGCACGGGUGAGUAACGCGUAUCCAACCUUCCCUUAGUAGGGCAUAGCCCGGUGAAAAUCGGAUUAAUACCCUAUGUUCUUCACAGCAGACAUCUAACGUGAAGCAAAGGUUCACCGCUAAGGGAUGGGGAUGCGUCUGAUUAGGUAGUAGGCGGGGUAACGGCCCACCUAGCCUUCGAUCAGUAGGGGUUCUGAGAGGAAGGUCCCCCACAUUGGAACUGAGACACGGUCCAAACUCCUACGGGAGGCAGCAGUGAGGAAUAUUGGUCAAUGGGCGAGAGCCUGAACCAGCCAAGUAGCGUGCAGGAUGACGGCCCUAUGGGUUGUAAACUGCUUUUAUAUGGGGAUAAAGUUCACCACGUGUGGUGUUUUGUAGGUACCAUAUGAAUAAGGACCGGCUAAUUCCGUGCCAGCAGCUGC